AGAUUAGGAGUCUUUGCAGAACUUCUGGAAAGUAAUUUAGAAUUCCUUUAAAUGCUAUGUAUUGCAGUGUUCUCAACAUCAUGGAACGAUGGUUUAAUCUCUAUUAAAAUGACUCCAAAAAACUGAAAAAAAUCCAAGAAUGACAUCUCAUUAGAAAUGAAGUCAAGUCUAAUCACUCAGGAAUAGCCAAAGUAACCAGAGUGCUACAGAGAGUCAGAUAAUUUACAGUGGUUUUACACAAAAGGUUGACGACAAGUAAUAAUGACAGCAAGAGAAGACAUGGACUAAGGAUGAUCCUAUUUGUUUUCCCAGCUACGUGCGGCACUUGGAAGAGUUCGAUAGAGUUGAUGCAAUUAUCGCUCUGGUCAAAUGUGAACUUUAAAUAUGAUUUUGAUCUACUAUCACAUAAAUGAAUCCAAUACUCUUCAUCGGAGGCACCAAAAAUGCUGGAAUAAAAAAAAAUAAAGGUAUCAAAGUGACUGUCACUCUUUUUCAAGAGAUGAUUGAGUCAGCUGUCAGCCGGCUAAAGGAAUGGAGCGUUCAUAAGACUUUUGAGCUGAAGCUGGGCACUUCAUUGACUGUUUUUUCUCCCACUCUGUGACAGUUUCAUAUCAGGACCUCAGCAGAUCUUUUUUAUGGAUGUUUUAAAGAACUUCAUAUCUUUAA